rnacentral:rRNA from 1 species
UACGGGGGGGGCAAGCGUUGUUCGGAAUUACUGGGCGUAAAGGGCUCGUAGGUGGCCAACUAAGUCGGACGUGAAAUCCCCAGGCUCAACCUGGGAACUGCGUCCGAUACUGGAUGGCUUGAAUUCGGGAGAGGGAUGCAGAAUUCCAGGUGUAGCGGUGAAAUGCGUAGAUAUCUGGAGGAAUACCGGUGGCGAAGGCGGCAUCCUGGACCGACAUUGACGCUGAGGAGCGAAAGCUAGGGGAGCAAACGGG